AUUUUAGUUAGCAAUGAAUUAGUUUUGCUAUGAUCUGUGCUUUUUUGUAUCUAUUUGUAAACGGGUUUUUCUACCAGAUACUUGCUCAACUCAUCAAUUUCAAAGGUGGAUGAGUGGUUUCUUGCAAACAUUAUUCUGGUUGGUGUAAUAUUUUUAUUUUACUUGUAAUAUUCUUAAUAAUGAGAAAAAAUAUAAAAUAAAGUUGAAAAAAUGAAAAUUUUUAGAGAACAGUUUCUGUUAAAUUCGAUUUUGUAUUUUUAUUGUAAUUCAGUGAAAAAUAACCUAAAUUUUUGCUGAAUGAAUUUUCUAGACAUGGUAUACGUCAGCGGUUCCCAAACCAUGUUCCGCAGAGCUCUUGGUGCUCUGCAAUGGUUUACCAAGGACUCCGUUCGUAACACCAUAACAAUUUUAAAAAUUUAAAAAUUGUUCACUAUUUAAAAUAAAUAUACAUUUCAUGAAGACUUGAAUGCCAUAAUUCACCGAUAUGUGUACUCUCACGACUCAGUUCGUCGUUUAUUAUGUUAUACAGUUUUAUUUUGACUCCCGUAUAUAUACAAUUCAUGUUUAUUAUGAUUCAUAGAAGAUGGAUAAAAUACCAUAGCCUUCAACCAAUAUGGCGGAUAAGCGGCAUCGCCCGACUUGCUAGUGAAUUUAUACUAGUUAGCAAUCUAGUUUAUUAUCUAUAUCUGUGAUUAUACCUAAUAAUGGGUAAUGGAUAAUAAAUUGAUAAUAAUUAAUUAUAGCACUCUAUGAUAAAGUGUUUAACGUGUUUGUUACAGACUUAGGAGCAAAUUGUGGAAUGAAUCAAAAUAUAUAUCCACUAUACCUAUUAUUUUUAUGACUGCGGGAUGUUAAUGUUAUCGUUUAUAGGCUGUUGAUAGGCCGUCACAAUAGAAAA